rnacentral:misc_RNA from 1 species
UCACGGUCUCAAGCUCGGCUUGAUGUUGGGCCCUUUGUUACUUGGUGACAGGUCCGAAAGACAAUGACCGGCGUAACCGACUCCCGAUGCAACGAGCUUAUUACAGCAGGCAUCUGGCGGUUGUGUAACCUGGUUGCCACCCUUUCUUUCUCCA